rnacentral:rRNA from 1 species
UACGUAGGGACCGAGCGUUGUCCGGAUUUAUUGGGCGUAAAGAGCGUGUAGGCGGCCAGACAGGUCCGUUGUGAAAACUCGAGGCUCAACCUCGAGACGUCGACGGAAACCGUCUGGCUAGAGUCCGGAAGAGGAGUGUGGAAUUCCUGGUGUAGCGGUGAAAUGCGCAGAUAUCAGGAAGAACACCUAUGGCGAAGGCAGCACUCUGGGACGGUACUGACGCUGAGACGCGAAAGCGUGGGGAGCGAACAGG